rnacentral:tRNA from 1 species
GAGGGUAGAGCUCAGUGGUAGAGCGCAUGCUUAGCAUGCACGAGGUCCUGGGUUCAAUCCCCAGUACCUUCA